CUUCACCGAACCCAGCCACAACGGCCGCUCCGCCGGGCGUCCCUGGCCGUACGUGGCCAGCAGCGCCUGCGCCUC
rfam:Streptomyces sp. NBRC 110027 DNA, contig: TPA059803.